rnacentral:lncRNA from 1 species
CUUCCUAAUAACGAGGGGGGAUCAAAUUUUCCAACCCUAGCGCAGCUUUCCCAUUUCAUCUCAUUUGCUCUUCAUCUCCCUCAAAAACAAAAGAAAACGGCACAACACUAGGGCUCCCCUUUUCUUCUUCUCCAUUCCUCAUCUUUAACAGACACACAUGCUCUCAUGAUCCAAUUUUUGCACAUACUUUCAGAGAACAGCUAAAAUCGGCGAAAACAAAAAAAAAAGGAUUUGAAAGCUACGGUUAAACUUCUACUCACUUGCUUUAUUAUUCUAAAAAUUCAAGUGAAAACAAGUUUGGGAAAAAGCUUAUGAAGCUAGGAGUAGGGGCUGAUCUCGUCGAUGAUUUCACUGUUGUCCAUGUAGCUGAUUUCCAACAUAGCAAUGGUUCUUUCAGCCUUUGUCCUGGCCUUUUUUCAAUUUUUAUUUGUGUUUCAGGUAUGAAUCUCGAUUUGAAAAUGUUGUAAUUGUUGUUAGAUCCGUUACGAUGAAAUUUGCAACAACAUUUCCCUUGUUUCUCUUAAAUUCAUCAAUAUUUAGUGCGAGCUUGAACUAUUGUUUUGCUGAAAUUUUCCGUGAACGUUCCCUUAUUUUAUGAUGUUCUGCUCCAUUUCUAUACAGCUAAAUCUUGCGAUUUCCAAUUUGCUUUCUGAAAUCCCCAUUUUAAUGAUCUUCUUCUGAUGUUGACACCUUUAAUUCGAUUUUGGAAUUGAUGUUUAAAGAUAAUCCUAUGUUAGUUAAUCAUUCGGGUACUUUUAUCAUUUCCUCCCAUUGGUCAUAAUGGCCGUUGCUUAGUCAGUAGUGAAGUAGUUGAUAUAAAGGAUCUUGACACGGGAUAAUUCUUUAAACUCUGCUCUGGAAUAUGUGAUCUUUUAACAGCUAAAUGAAAAGACAAUUCUGCGAUAGUUUUGCCCUUAACUGUUUCCAUGGCUACAAUUAUGUGUUUAGACUUGAUAAAAAGACAUUUCUGUUAAAAAAACAUCUGAGUCGCACUUUCAUGUAUUUGUUUUGUUGGCCUUGGAUUGUUGUAGUCUACAUCUUCCAAUUUUGAUGUUUAUUGAAUCUCAAGGGGUGUAACUCAGAUGUUCGAACUGACCCUUUAUCGGAAGAUCUCUCAUUUGUCAUAGCAUGUAGGCACCUAUAUGGGUGCUUCACUAAUGUUUAGAUGAGUUCUGGAGUUUCACGUUUAUGCCAUUCACUUAUUAGGACAUGACCUGCUAGUAAGUUGUCACGACCCCAGUUCGCCCUCCGUGGACUAUCGUGACGGUACCUAGUCUGUACGACUAGGUAAGCCUAACAAAUGCAGAAAAUAAACGAAACUUGCGGAAGAAUUAAUUAAAAGCCAGAAUAACCGAAUGAAACAGUAUUUAAAUUACCGCUCGACAUAUACAAUACAACUUCUAAAAAAAAAACUAAUGCACUUUCCUAAAAUCCGGAAUCUCAUGAAACCACAAGCCUUUGAAUAUCUAAUAGUGUCUAACUCUAGAAUGUCUACCAAGAACAAAAAUACAGAAGUGCUAAUACUUAAAAGCGAGAAUAGAGAGGGACUCCUCGGUCUGCGGACAUGGCAGAUAUACCUUGAAGUCACUGGAGCAGUUGCCUCGCCUCAAGGGUGAUAGGACUGAGUCGUAGUGCCUGGAUCUGCACAUGAAAAACAUGCACAGAAAGGGCAAGAGUACACCAAAAUGGUACUUAGUAAGUGCCAAGCCUAACCUCGGUCGGGUAGUGACGAGGAAGGUCAGGGCCCUACUGAGGUUAAAUAAAAUAUAAAGUUCAACAGUAUAGAACGUAACAGUAUAAAUAAGUACAACAAUAAAAGUAACACAAGAUAUAAAGGGCAUCAACAACUAUUACAGAGACAAGGUAAACACAAAAGACAUGCGGUUCAGCACCAAAAUAACAAUCGGGGAUCUCCCAGGAUACCGUCCUGUAGUCCCAAAUAUACAUAUCCAAUGGAUCUCCCGGGAUCCCGUCCCGUAGUCCAACUCAUAGUUCGCGGGAUCUACCGAAAUCCCGUUCCGUAGUCCCAAAUGUAAAUACCCAGUACUGGGGAAUAUACCGGGUGCAUUUUCAUAGUUCCAUAUAACUGUGCAGGGGGAUCUACCGGAAUCCCACAUCCAUAGUCCCAAAAUAAAUAGACAAGGGGGAGCUACUGGAAUCCCACAUCCGUAGUCCCAAUAUAAAUACAUAGCAGCAAUAGGAAAAUAUUCAGAAAUGGAAAAUUUCAUAUUAAGGCACACAAGUAAUUCUGGCCUAGGAUGCUGCACAAAAUUCAGGUAAGGCAGUUUGAGCAAGUAAAGCAAUUAAGUCACUUAGACAUGCUUUCCUAAGCUAACAAUAGGCUUAAUAGUGCAAGUAAUAAAAAUGGGAAAGGAAACAUACUAGUAAUUGCUUAAUGAAAACCGGAUAUCCAAUAAUUAGCACAAGUACGUACUCGUCACCUCACUUAGAAGGCAUUUCAAUUACCAAAUAUACCAAAUCCUUAGGGGACCAAGGUUAGGCAAGCCACUUACCUCGAACCAGCUCAAAAUCAACUCAAAAUCACGUUCUUGCCACGAGUAUUCGACUCCAAAUAGCCCAAAUCUAUUAAAUUCUAUUGCAUAAUGUAAAUACCACUUCAAGUAACUGAUUCUACAAAGAAAUUCUAGGCUAAUACGCGAAAUUAGGUAAAAUGACUAAAACGCUCCUCUGUCCCACGUCUCGGAAUCGGGUAAAAUUUAUAUUUUUAGAAUCCUCAUACUCUCACGAGUUCAUGCAUCCAAAAUUAUCCAAAUCUAAGGUUAAAUUCCCAAUCAAAAGUCGAAUUCUAGGUCUAAGAACUUUCUUCCAACUUUUCCCCAAUUUUCAUCUCCAAUCCGAAUUUAAAUGAUGAAACUAACUAUAGAUUGAUGAAAUAUACCUAGAAAGGGUUAAAGAAUUGUUACCAACUGAUUUCCUCUCCAAUUUCCUCCCAAAAUCGCCCUCUCCCGAGCUCCAAAUCGAAUUUCCAACUUUUGAAACUCAACCCUCGAAAUUUCAUAUUUCUGCCCAACUGUUACCGUAUAUGCGGUCCUAGGACCAUAGAGCGGUCCCACUUUUGAGGAACAAUGGUCGCAUUUGUCACUCCUCACUUAAAAUCGGCUUCCGCAUUUGUGACUCCCCAUCCGCAGAUGCGGUACCGCUCCUGCGGAAAAACAACCGCUUCUGCGGCUCCUGCGGCUCCUCCUGAACCUCCCCAUUUCCGCUUCUAUGAUUGAUCCGCUGCUUCUGCGGCUCUGCACCUGCAGUCCCACACUGGCAGGUGCGGUUAUGACAGAAAAAUAGCUGAAGUUGCAACUUCAAAUUCCAAAAAUCUUUCCCUCAACUAUCCUAAAUCAUCCCGAGGCCCCCAGAACCUCAACCAAACCUACCAACAUAUCCCAAAACUUCAUUCAAACUUGUUCCGACCUUAGGCAUGCUCAAAACAACAUCAAAGCACCUAUUUUUCAUCGAAUUCAAGCCUAAAAAUCCCAAAAACUCUAAAAAUACACUUUCGAUCAAAAAGUCUAUCAAAUCUCGUCUGAAUGACCUGAAAUUUUGCACACACGUCACAUUCAAAAUUACGGAGCUACUCCAACUUUCGGAAUUCUAUUCCGACCCUCGGAUCAAAAUCUCACUAUCGCACCAGAAACUUCAAAAUUCGACCUUUCAGCAUUUCAAGCCUAAAUUAGCUACAGACCUCCAAAAUGCAAUCCAAACACGCCCCUAAGCCUGAAAUCACCCAACGGAGCUAACAGAACCAUCGAAUUUCCAUUCCAAGGCUGUCUUCAUACUAUUUUGACUACAAUAAACUUUCCAACACUUAAGCUCUCAUUUAGGGACUAAGUGUCCCAAAACUCGAAACCGAACAUCCCGACAACUCAAAAUAACAGAAAUAAACAUGGGAAAGCAGUUAAUAGGGGAUCGGGGCAUAAAUUCUUAAGAUGACUGGCCGGAUCGUCACAUCCUCCUACACUUAGACAUUCGUUCGUCCUCGAACGAGCAUAAAGACAUACCUGAAGUAGUGAAAAUAUGAGGGUAACGGUUGCAUAUAUCCUGCUCGGUCUCCCAGGUCGCCUCCUCGACUGGCUUACCCCGCCACUGAACCUUUAUUAUGCAAUGUUCUUUUACCUCAGCUUUCUAACCUGCCUGUCCAAUAUUGCCACUGGCUCCUCAACAUAGGAUAGAUCCUUGUCCAACUGGACUGAAGUAAAAUCCAACACGUGCGACGGAUCACCGUGAUACCUUCGGAGCAUCGAAACAUGAAAUAUCGGAUGAACUCCUACCAAGUUGGGAGGUAAGGCAAGCUCAUACGCAACCUCCCCAACACGUCUCAAUAUAUCGAAAGGGCCAAUAAACUUCGGACUCAACUUUCCCUUCUUCCCAAAUCUCAUAACGCCCUUCAUAGGCGAAACUCGAAGCAGAACCCGCUCUCUAACCAUAUAGGAAACAUCGCGAACCGCUUCUGUCUGGACUGGGCUGUACAAAGUCUAUCCUAAGUCACCUUGACCUUCUCCAAAGCAUCCUGAACCAAGUCUAUGCCCAAUAAUCUGGCCUCACCUGGCUCAAACCAACCCACCGGGAAUCUACACCGUCUACCAUAUAAAGCCUCAUACGGUGCCGUCUGAAUGCUGGACUGAUAGUUGUUGUUGUAAGCAAACUCUGCCAAUGGCAAGAACUGAUCCCAAGACCCUCCAAACUCAAUCACACACGCAUGGAGUAUAUCCUUAAGAAUCUGAAUAGUGCGCUCGGAAUGUACGUCCGUCUGAGGGUGAAAUGAUAUACUUAACUCCACCCGAGUACCCAACUCAUGCUGAAUGACUCUCUAGAAUCGUGAUGUGAACUGAGUACCUCUAUCUGAAAUGAUGGAAACUGGAAUACCAUGCAGACGAACAAUCUCCCGGAAAUAGAUCUCCGCUAACCGCUCCGAAGAAUAAGUAGUACACACAUGAAUGAAGUGAACGAACUUGGUCAGCCGAUCCACAAUCACCCAAAUAGCAUUGAACUUUCUCAAAGUCCGUGGGAGCCCACCUACAAAGUCCAUAGUAAUCCGCUCCCACUUCCACUCUGGAAUCUCUAUCUGCUGAAGCAAUCCACUCGGCCUCUGGUGCUCAUACUUCACCUGCUGACAGUUGAGGCACCGAGAUACAAACCCAACUAUAUCUUUCUUCAUCCUCUUCCACCAAUAGUGUUGUCUCAAAUCCUGAUACAUCUUCGCAACACCUGGAUAGAUGGAAUACCGCAAACUAUGGGCCUCCUCUAGAAUCAACUCUCGAAGCCCAUCAUAAUUGGGUACAGAAAUCCGACCCUGUAUCCUCAAUACCCCAUCAUCACCAAUAGUCACAUCUAUGGCAUCACCGUGCCGAACCUUGUCCUUGAGGACAACAAAUGAGGGUUAUCAUACUACCGCUCUCUGAUACGAUCAAAUAAGGAAUACCGAGAAACCACGCAAGCUAGAACCCGACUAGGCUCUGAAAGGUACAAUCUCACAAACUGGCUAUCUAAGGGCUGAACAUCCAUCGCCAUAGGCCUCUCUGAUGCUGGUAAAUAAGACAAACUCCCCAAACUCUUUGCCCGGCAACUCAAAGCAUCACCACCAUAUUGACCUUGCCCAGGUGAUACUGAAUAGUGAUAUCAUAGUCUUUCAGCAACUCUAACCACCUCCUUUGGCUCAAAUUUAAAUCCNNNNNNNNNNNNNNNNNNNNNNNNNNNNNNNNNNNNNNNNNNNNNNNNNNNNNNNNNNNNNNNNNNNNNNNNNNNNNNNNNNNNNNUUUUGCUUGAACAGGUGCUGCAAGCUCCGAUGGUUAGUAUAAAUCUCACAAGGCGCACCGUAUAAAUAAUGGUUCCAGAUCUUCAGGACGUGAACAAUGGCAGAUAACUCAAGGUCGUAGACAGUGUAAUUUUUCUCAUGUACCUUCAACUGUCUAGACGCAUAGGCAAUUACCCUACUGUCCUGCAUUAACACAACUCCAAGGCCAAUCCUCGAAGCAUCACAAUAGACCAUAUAAUACCUCGAACCUGUAGGCAGUAUCAAAAUUGGGGCUAUAGUCAAAGCUAUCUUGAGCUUCUGAAAGCUCAUCUCACACUCCUCUGUCCACUAGAACAGAGCACCCUUCUGGGUCAACCUGGUCAUAGGGGCUGCAAUCGAUGAGAACCCCUCCAAAAAACGACGGUAGUAACCUACCAAGCCAAGGAAACUACAUAUCUCUGUAGCUGAGGAUGGUCUGGGCCAACUCUGCAUGACCUCUAUUUUCUUCGGAUCCACUUGAAUACCCUUACUCGAUACCACGUGGCCUAGGAAUGCCACUGAAUCCAACCAAAACUCGUAUUUCGAGAACAUAACAUAUAACUUCUUCUCCCUCAAAGUCUGAAGCACAGUCCUCAGGUGCUGCUCAUGAUCUUCUUGACUCCGGGAAUACACCAAAAUAUCAUCAAUAAAGACAAUGACGAAUGAGUCAAGAUACGGCCGGAACACAUUGUGCAUCAAAUGCAUAAAGGUUGCUGGGGCAUUGGUCAUCCCAAAUGACAUAACAAGGAACUCGUAAUGACCAUACGAGUCCUAAAAGCAGUCUUCGGGAUAUCUGGUUCUAGAAUCUUCAACUGAUGGUAACCUGAGCGCAAGUUAAUCUUAGAAAACACCUGUGCUCCCAGAAGCUGGUCAAACAGAUCUUCAAUAUGAGGCAAAGGAUAAUGGUUCUUCACUAUAACCUUGUUCAACUGGUGAUAAUCAAUACACAUACGCGUAGAACCGCCCUUUUCUUCACAAAUAAGAUAGGAGCAACCCAAGGUGAUACACUGGGCCAAAUAAAACCCCUAUCAAGAAAUUCUUGUAACUGAUCCUUCAACUCAUUCAACUCAGGAUGAGCCAUACGAUACGGGCGAAUGGAAAUAGGCUGAGUGCCCGGCAAUAGAUCAAUGCCGAAAUCAAUAUCUCUAUCAGGCGGCAUGCACAGAAGGUCAGCUGGAAAGACAUUGGGAAUAUCCCGCACUACUGGAACUGAAUCAACUGAAGGGGUAUCAAUAUUGACAUCUCUCACAUAGGCAAAAUAUGCAUCACACCCUUUCUAAACUAUAAGCUAAGCUUUAAGAAAAGAAAUAAUUUUACUGGGAGUGUGAUCUAAAGUACCCCUCCACUCAACACGUGGUACACCUGGCAUAGCCAGUGUUACGGUUUUGGCGUGACAAUCAAGAAUAACAUAAUGGAGCGACAACCAGUCCAUGCCCAAGAUAAUAUCAAAAUCUACCAUGAUGAGCAAUAAUAAAUCAGCUCUGGUCUUAAAACCACUAAGAGCAACCAAACACGACCGAUAAACGCGGUCCAUAACAAGAGAAUCUCCUACAUGAGUAGAAACAUAAACAUGGGAACUCAAAGAAUCCCGAGGUACAGCCAAAUGCGGAGCAAAAUAAGAAGACACAUAAGAGUAAGUGGAGCCUGGAUCGAAUAGAACCGAUACAUCUCUAUGACAAACCAGUAUAAUACCUGUGAUGACAUAAUCAGAGGAAACAACCUCGAUACGGGAAGGAAGGGCAUAGUAUCUGGCCUGGCCUCCCCCUCUAGGGAAACCUCUACCUCCCAGACCUCCACCUGUAGCUGGUUGAGCAGGUGGGGUAGCAACUGGAGAUGUAACCAUGGCCUGAGAACUCUGUGGGGCACACUGUGGCUGAAAAGUCUAUGGAGGUGCACCCCUCCAAAGUCUAGGGCAAUCCCUCACAAUACGGCGUGUGUCACCACACUCAAAACAAGCUCUGAGAGGAAGUGGUGGCUAUGAUUGGCUCGGGACAGGUUUGCUGGACUGACCUCUGAAAGCACCCCGCGCAGGAGGCGCACUAGAUACCGGAGGUGCAUAAUAAGGCUCCUAAGGUCUAGGAGGAGCUGGAAUACCACUGGCUACUGGAAGAACUAAAUGAAAAAGGCGACUCAUAUAACCCCUACCAUGAUGACCUACUAUUAGGGCACGGGCACCAGAGAAAUGGCCUGACUCUCAAGACCUCUUGGCCUCUCUCUCCCUAGCAUGCACACCCUCGAUCCUCCUAGCAAUGCUAACCACUUGUUGAUAAGAAAUAUCCAUCUACAACUCACGAUCCAUGCUAGAUCUGAUGCUGGGAAUAAGGCCCUCAAUAAAUCGGCGAACCCUCUCGCAAACAGUAGAAACCAAGGCUGGGGCAUGUCUAGCCAAACUAGUGUAACAGACAGCAUACUUUGAGACAGUCAUAGCACCCUGGCGCAAAUGCUCAAACUCUGUAUGCCAUACAUCCCUGAGGCUUUGAGGAACAUACUCCCUCAGGAACAUAUCUGAAAAAUUGUGUCCAAGUUAGUGAAGCAGCCUGAUCUGGACUAUCUAAAUCAUAGGUGGGCCACCAUUCAUAGGUGGCCCCUUGAAGCUGGAAGGUUGUGAAGGAAACCCCGCUCGAUCCUAAUAUACGGAGAAUGUAGUAACACUCAUCUAGAAAUCCCAAAGCAUUAGUUGAUGCUAGACCACUAAAUAUAGGAGGCUUGUACUUCUUGAACCUCUCAAGCCUCAACCGCUCAUCCUUGGAAGCCACUGCCCUAUCCUCGGGCUGAUCUCGGACUGCAGGCUGUACAGGAAUAAUCUCAGGGACCUGCUCAACAUGCACUCGCUGUUCAGGAGUGCGGGCGGCGGGAUUCUGUGCUCUUCCACCGGCCUGAGACGUAGUUGCAGCAAGGGGAAGCAACCCUGCCUGAGCCAAAGUGGUGUACAUGCUCAUGAACUGUGCCAGAGUCUCCUAAAGUGCUAGAGUAGUAGUAGCUGUAGGCGUAUCAAAUGCCUGGGCUCCGGCUGGACCUGCUAGUGGUACCUCAGUGGCAGCCCGUGUAGGUGCUCUGGCUGCCCCGCAUGCGCGUGCGCGUCCUCAGCCUCUACCCCUACCCCAGCCUCUGACGACUGUAGUAGGGGGCGCGGGUGCAUGAUCAUCUCAGGUAGCGCGUGUCCUCACCAUCUAUGAGAGAAUAGAAGGCAGAAGUUUAGAAUUGUGAUGUCAAAAUAUCUCAUGACACGGAAACCAAAUGAAAUGGAAUUUUCCUAACAGUUACAUAACUUUUCGUAGAUAAGUACAUAUGUCUCCGUACCGAUCAGCGAGACUCUAAUAAACUGGCUUGUGAUCCAUGACUCCUAUGAACUUAGAGCUUUGAUACCAACUUGUCACAACCCCAGUUUGCCCUCCAUGGACUUUCGUGAUGGCACCUAGUCUCUAUGACUAGGUACGCCUAACAAAUGCAGAAAAUAAAUGAAACUUGCGGAAGAAAUAAUUAAAAGACAAAAUAACCGAAUAAAAUAGUAUUUAAAAGGCCGCUCGACAUAUACAAUACAACUUCUAAAAAAAACUAAUACACUUUCCCAAAACACGGAAUCUCGUGAAACCACAAGACUUUGAAUCUCUAACAGUGUCUAACUCCAGAAUGUCUAACAAGAACAGAAAAACAAAAGGGCUAAUACGUAAAAGCGAGAAUAGAGAGGGACUCUUCGGUCUGCGGAUGCAGCAGAUAUACCUCUAAGUCGCUGGAGCAGUCGCCUCGUCUCAAGGGUGAUAGGACUGAGUCACAGUACCUAGAUCUGCACAUGAAAAACAUGCGCAGAAAGGGCAUGAGUACACCACAACGGUACUCAGUAAGUGCCAAGCCUAACCUCGGUCAAGUAGUGAUGAGGAAGGUCAGGGCCCUACUUAGGUUAAAUAAAAUAUAAAGUUCAACAGUGUAGGACCGAACAGUAUAAAUAAGUACAACAAUAAAAUUAACACAAGAUAUAAAAGGCAACAACAACGAUUACAGAGACAAGGUAAACACAGAAAGAAAUACGGUUCAGUACCAAAAUAACAAUCGGGGAUCUCCCAAGAUAACGUCCUGUGGUCCCAAAUAUACAUAUCCAAUGGAUCUCCCGAGAUCCCGUCCCAUAGUCCAACUCAUAGUGCGCGGGGAUCUACCGGAAUCCCGUUCCGUAGUCCCAAAUGUAAAUACCCAAUACUAGGGGAAUCUACCGGGUGCCUUACCAUAGUUCCAUAUAACUGUUCAGGGGGAUAUACCGGAAAACCACAUCCCUAGUCCCAAAAUAAACAGACAAAGGGGAGCUACCGAAAUCCCACAUCCGUAGUCCUAAUGUAAAUACACUGCAGCAACAGAAAAAUAUUCAGAAAUGGAAAAUUUAAUAUUAAGGCACACAACUAAUUCUAGCCUAGUAUGCUGCACAGAAUUCAGGUAAAGCAGUUUGAGCAAGUAAAGCAAUUAAGUCACUUAGACAUGCUUUCCUAAGCUAACAACAUGCUUAAUAGUGCAAGUAAUAAAAAUAGGAAAGGAAACAUACUAGUAAUUAUUUAAUGAAAAUCGGAUUUCCAAUAAUUAGCACAAGUACGCACUCAUCACCUCACGUACAAGGCAUUUCAAUUAUCAAAUAUACCAAAUCCUAAGGGGAAGGUCCCCCACACAAGGUUAGGCAAGCCACUUACCUCGAACCAGCUCAAAAUCAAUUCGAAAUCACGUUCUUGCCAUGAGUAUUCGACGCCAAAUGGCCCAAAUCUAUUCAAUUCAAUUGCAUAAUGUGAAUACUACUUCAAGUAACUGAUUCUACAAAGAAAUUCUAGGCUAAUAUGCGAAAUUAAGUAAAAUGACCAAAACGCCCCUCGGGCCCACGUCUCGGAAUCAGGUAAAAUUUAUAUUUUUAGAAUCCUCAUACUCUCACGAGUUCAUGCAUACCAAAAUUAUCCAAAUCUAAGGUCAAAUUUCCAAUCAAAAGUCAAAUUCUAUGUCUAAGAACUUUCUUCCAACUUUUUCCCUAAUUUCCAUCUCCAAUCUGAAUUUAAAUGACGAAACUAACUAUAGAUUAAUGGAAUAUAACUAGAAAGGGUUAAAGAAUUGUUACCCACUGAUCUCCUCUUCAAUUUCCUCCCAAAAUCGCCCUUUCCCGAGCUCCAAAUCGAAUUUCCAACUUUUGAAACUAAACCCUCAAAAUUUCAUAUUUCUGUCCAGCUGUUACCGCAUCUACGUUCCUAGGACCGCUUCUACCGAACAAUGGUCGCAUCUGCGAAUCCUCACUUAAAACAGGCUUCCGCAUCUGCGACUCCCUAUCCGCAUAUACGGUACCGCUCUUGUGGAAAACCUACCGCUUCUGCCGCUCCUGCUGAACCUCCCCAUUUAUGCUUUUGUGAUUGAUUCGCCGCUUUUGCGGCUCCGCACCUGCGGUCCCACACUCACAGGUGCAGUUAUGACAGAAAAACAGCUGAAGUUGCAACUCCAAAUUCUAAAAAUCUUUCCAUCAACCAUCCGAAAUCGUUCCGAGGCCCCCGUGACGUCAACCAAAUCUACAAACAUUUCCCAUAACUUCAUUCAAACUUGUUCCGACCUGCGGAACACUCAAAACAACAUCAAAACACCUAUUUUUCAUCGGAUUCAAGCCUAAGAAUCCCAAAAACUCUAAAAAUAUGCUUUCGAUCAAAAAGUCUAUCAAACCUCGUCUGAAUGACCUGAAAUUUUGCACACACGUCACAUUCAACACUACGGAUCCAACUUCUAGAAUUCCAUUCCGACCCUCAAAUCAAAAUCUCACUAUCGAACCAGAAACUUCAAAAUUUGACCUUUCGGCAUUUCAAGCCUAAAUUAGAAACGGACCUCCAAAACACAAUCCGAACACGCCGCUAAGCCCAAAAUCACCCAACGGAGCUAACGGAACCAUCAUAUUUCUAUUCACUUCACAUUGUUCCGACUACGGUCAACUUUCCAAUACUUAAGCUCUCAUUUAGGGACUAAGUAUCCCAAAGCUCUCCGAAACUCGAAACCAAACAUCCCGGCACAUCAAAAUAGCAUAAAUAAAUAUGGGGAAAGCAGUUAAUAGGGGAUCGAGGCAUAAAUUCUUAAGACGACCGGCCAGGUCAUCACAUAAGUGAGCCUCAACUAGGAGGGAGGAGGCAAGAAGUAUGCUUUGGUGGAUCAGGGUUUUCAAUUCCUAUUCAUGUGCAAUUACCUAACACUUGGAUAAUGCUAUUAGUGUAUUUCAAACUUCUUAUUUGAUUUGUCAUACUUAGUGGGUUACCUUCAAUUAUUGAUUUUUCUUGUUUGUUUUAAAUCUGUUUAGCAACUGGACCUCAUAUUUGUGUUAGUAUGGGGAUUUGGGUAUAUAAGUAUUAACUUGAAAGUUGAGUUUUAAUGGUAUUUCAAUUGCUAGAAAUUUGCAUUUUUUGUUGUUCUUUUUGAAUCAUUUUAUUGCUUGAAUUCCUUUUGGUUAAUAUUAAAGAUUUUGACAGAAUUUUGAAUAUUUGAUGCAUUCAAAAUGAAUGUCUUUCCUUUGUUGUCUCACUUGAUUAUUUAACAAAGUUGAAGGAACAAGAAUUCUAGGCUUUAUGUUCCAAGUGUAGUUGCUGAUUAGCUUAUGGAAAAAUUGGUUGUCUCUGCUUGGUAAUCACAUAGACUAUAUUAUCAUAGCAAUAAUAGUCUGCAUUAGCAAUAGUUCAAACGUGCAUAGUUUCUUUAGGCGCGCUAAUUAAUUAAACUAUCGUGAUUAUGAGCACGUUCCCGUGGCAUAGUCAUGAUACAUAAUCCCCAAUUCGGGUGUGCAUUUCAUGUGACCCAAUCAUAACAACUUCGAACAGUAAUAAAAUAAACAUGUCGCGAAUCACAGGCAUAUUUCAUGUAGCAUGGUUUGCGGUGUGUUCCAAAACGGCAAGUGUACGACAAUCGUAACUUGUUCAAGAAAUAAUUCCAUUUAUCCUAAAAAGCGGUUAAAAUAAUUAAAAGCGGUUAUAAAGUUAAAAAUACACAAUAGGUUUAAAACAUGUAUUAAAUAAGAUAAUAGGCCAAUUAUUAUUAGUUAAAGCGACCGUUCUCGAACCACAGAACCCAAGAAUGCCUAACACCUUCACCCAAGUUAAAAGAAUUCUUAUCUAGAAUUUCUGGUUUCGUAGACUUUUAAAUAAAGUUAAUUUUCCUCGAUUUGGGAUUUAAAAUAAACUGGUGACUUGGAACACCAUAAUAAAUAUCCCGAGUGGCGGCUCUGAGAAAUAAAUAAAAUAAUCCCAUAUCGAUUUAUGUCACUUUAAUUGGAAAAACUCCCUUAUACCCCUAUCGAAUGGUAAACAAAGGAGGUGUGACAGCUCUGGCGACAUCCAAAAUCCAAAAGAGAAAACAAAUAAAAAUUCAAACAAAAAUAUUUUCCUUUUACUUUUGAAAGUUCCAAAGUUCAAAUCAAAAGAAAAAGAAUUUUUAGAAGUCUUCUUUUCAAAAAAUAAAAAAAAUCAAAAUCAAAAAUCCAAAAAAAAAUUUAUUUCCUUUCUUCUUUUAAAGCAUUUCUUUCGAUAAUUCCAAAAAAAACAACAAAACAAAAAAUUCAAAAAAAUAUAUGCUUUUCUUUUCUUAAAGCUUUCACAGUCUGAGUUUUAUAAAAGUAAACAAAAAAAAAGAGUUGGUUUAUUUACUUCAUUCCCAAUCUUCCCGAACUAUGCAAGAUCUGAUUCAUGCGGUAUUAUGAUAUGUAGGCAAUCUUCAUCGGAUUCGAUCAUAGUUAUAAAAUAAACUGAGUGAAAAAAUAAAUGAAAAAAAGAGAAACAAAAAAAAGGAGUGAAAAAAAUAAAAGAAAGAAUAAAAAAAAGAGUGACAAAAAUAAAAGAGUGACAAAAACAAAAAAGAGAAAAAAAGAGUGUCAAAAAUAAAAUGAGAAAAUCAAUAGUGAUUAAAGAGAGGCAAAAUUAAAGAAAAAGAGGUACAGAGUGAAAAAAAGGGGUUAGUUAAUGCCAAGAUGAAACAUGCAACCGUUCAAACACAUGGUAGAAAGGUUUAACUGUUUAGGCGCAUUGCAUCCAAACGUGCUAUUUCCUAUCUGUUAAGCGUAUCAAAACUAACAUGGUUGUUGGGUGUGCAAAAUAGACAGGUUUUGGUGGUUGGUUUUUUUGGUAGUCUAGCCUCCCCUCCUUCACAAGAUCCAAAGGCACAGAUCGCCUCUGCAAGCAAUCUACCAAUCAUCGGUCCUGAUGAUAGCCCAACAUCGGCUAUUCUGCAGAUAGAAUUAGCAUUUGCUGAAGAGAAUAAGAUGUUGCAUCUCCGUGUAUUUAAAAUGUGAGAUGCCUGGUCUAAUGGUAAAGAACCGCCAAGUGCAAUCUCUGGGUUCCCUGAGUUGAUACCCAGGUUAGGCGAGGUUACCAACGCCCCUGUGCCCAACCCGCUCAUCCCAUGCGGGCACCCUCCAAUGUCAUCCAUUGUUCCUGGCAUGCCUUCUGUGAUUCGCCCCUAGGCGCUAGUUUCCUGGGCACCUCCAAUAUUGUGCUCUACAGUACCAGAACACAACCAACUUUACCACGGUCAUAUAUUGAGCCUCCAAUAUUCACCAUUCAGGGUCCAUAACUUCAAUUAGAAAUAAUAUAUGUGACCCCGUACUCUUUAACUCAACCUCUGCAAUAUGAUCUCUCGGUGGAGCAAGAAAAGGUUGUUAAAAAUUUCGAGCAAGAGGAAAUGGAUCGGAAGAUGAAGAGCCUAGAACAAAGCCUGAAAAACAUGCAAGGUCUGAGUGGCCAAAAGAAUGUCUCAUACUCUGACCUCUGUAUGUUUCCCCAUGUCCACUUGCCAGUUGACUUCAAGAUGCCAAAAUUUGAAAAGUACAACGAGCACGGGGACCCGGUCGCUCAUCUGAAACGAUACUGUAACCAGUUGAGGGGUGCUGUUGGAAAAGAGGAGCUGCUAAUGGCCUAUUUUGAGGAAAGCCUCACCAGAAUCUCUUUUGAGUGGUAUAUGGAUCAAGAAAUUACUCAUUGGCACGUGUGGGACGAUAUGGCCCGAGAUUUUGUCUGCCAGUUCCAGUAUAAUAUGGAUAUCGCUCCCGGCAGAAGCUCUUUAUCCAAUUUGAAAAAGAAAAACGCGGAAAGCUUCCGCGAAUACGCUAUCAAAUGACGUGAGCAAGCUGCCAAGGUAAAGCCUCCAAUGGAUAAAAUUGAAAUGGCCAUGGUUUUCUACAGGCCCUAGAGGUGGACUACUUCCAAAACAUGAUGUAUGCUAUGGGUAAGCCAUUCGCUGAGACUAUAAAAAUUUGGAAAAUGGUUGAAAAUGGUUUAAAAACAGGGUGAAUGUUGAGUCAUGCUGCCUUGAAGGCCACAUCACAGGCUGCUCAAAAUGGUUCGGAGGGUUUGAUGAACAAAAAUGGGGUUGAAGAGGGAGCUAGGAUGAUUUCAAGCUCGAGGGGGCCCGCAGGUCAUUCAGCCAAUCAUAUGUGCCUCAUAUGGUCCCACUACACUAUUAUCCCCUUCAAGAUGCUGCUUAUGCCGUGACACCACCUCCCUAUACGGUGAUGAACGCACAACCUUACCCGUGGCAACAACAUUAUCCAUAAAACCGAGCUCCACCUCCCAGAAAUGUCCAUCCUUGCCAAGCUCCUUAUAAUCCCCAAUCAAAUGUUCCCCAGUACAAUCCUCGCCUAAUAUAGCCUUUCAAAAGGAAUCGGUUCACCCCUAUUGGUGAAUCAUACUCGGCUUGUUCUAACAGAUAGUCAGGCGAGGUCUGCUUCAUCCAGUGGCCCAAAACUGAGUCCCCCUCGCAGCGAGCUGAUGCUAUAUGUGAAUACCACUCUGGAGCAGUGGGACACAGUACGAAGGACUAUUGGACAAUCAAAAGUGCAGUUCAAGACUUGAUUGAAGCUAAAAGAAUCAUUCUCCGGGACUAAGAGGCUUUUAAUAUGAUGAAAAAUCCUCUGCCUACUCUCACAAGUGAGCCAGUAGUCGAAAUUAUUUGUGAAGAUGAAGAAUUUGACCUGGCACUAAAGGCCAUUGCAGCAAUUGCCGAGACAAAGAAAAGCCAAAAAACGGUGGCCAAGCCUGAAAGUUCCCUAUCAGACGAGAGUCUCGGUAGCCAGUCUUGCUAUUCUUUCCGCAUCCGGAUUAUCUCAGGGUGUGAUCCAGAUGUUUUACUUUAUUGUCUUACUUUUCGAUGUAAACCCUUCUAUCUUUAAAAUUCAAAAAUAAAAAAAAAUCAUCAUAAAAAAAAUCAAAAAUCAAAAAUCAAAAAUCAAAUGAAAUUAAUAUUUCAUUGUCUAGGAAUGUCUCUUUUCUUAAUCUUGUCUUUUUUCUUAUUCUCUUUUCAAUUCUGUUAAUGCAUAUUUCAAUAACAUGACAUGCUUGCGGACUUCAUGCCUAGAUCCUGAAAGCUGUCAGACCUCGAAAUAAUGAAUCAAGAAUUAGAUCGCAAUGAAGAUAAGUUUAAGGAAAUAAAACAAAGAGUUGGAAUAGCUGAAGGAAAAUCGGUGCCAGAAUUGGAAAGGUCCAUAUAUUUUAACAAGAGUAAUGCCAAAAGAGUGCGUUGUACUUGGGACACAUCGAAGAAAAUGUCCCUGAAACAAUUGUCAAUCCAAAUGCAGUCAAAAGGUACUAUAUUGGAUCAUCUAUAUAGGAUUAAUGUUCUCCAAUUGGGAUGAAGAAGGAUUUCUUUCUCGCUAUCUAAAUAUUCUACCCUUUGCAAACCCUUUGAGCCGGCUAUUCUUUGAUUACCUUCUUUGGAACUUGAAAAAUAUUAUUGAGAAACAUGAUGAAUAAAAAAUUUAAAAAAUAAAAUGAAAAGAGAAGAAAAAGAAAAAUACAAAAAAGGGAAUUAAAAGAUAAAGAAAAUGAAAUAAAAAAAUGAAAAAAGAGGAAAAGGAAAGGAAAAAGAAAGAGAAAAGAAACCAAAACAGAAGAAAAUGAAAAACAAAGUUCCCUGAACUACGUUCGACUUGAUUCUGAAAGGAUACGUAGGAAGCCUCUCUCAAGGGUUCAGUCACACCAAAAUAAAAAUCCAAAUUCUCCAAAAGUUGAAACUGGGGCAGAAGUUACAAUGGUUUGGCGAUGGUUUCGCCUGAAAGGUUCCAAAGUUGUAAUUCAAUCCAAAUUCUUUUUACCCCAAAUCCUGUUCAAGACCUUCCGAUCAAUUGGUAAGAAUGUUCAUGGAUCGGAGAAUGCAACUACUUGGAUUCGAUGCAAUAAAAAUGAGAUAAAUAUAAUGAGAGAGUCUUGUUAGUGAAAACUCACAAAGAGCACUAUAAGGCAAUGGUGAGAAGAGAAACGAGAGAGGUCAGCUCGUGAAAACCCGCAAAGGGUGCCCCUGAUUUAAAAGAGGAUCCUCACAGCCAUCGGCACCGAUAGAGUCCUGGCAAGGUUUCUUAAUUUUGAGGAAAACGUUCUGAUGAAUUUUUGAAAGUCGGACGGUUUACACAGAUCAGGCAUCUAGUCCAAAAGGCAUGUCAUCUUAAUUGAAGUCCGCAUGUACUCUAGAUAAGUCAUUCUUUCCUUUCCCCGAAAGGAACACUUCUUGUUUUAAACUCAUUCUCCAUUCCAUUGUUUGUUUUCUUUGAAUCCCUUUUGGUCUAACUCUGUUCCGAAACUAAGACAAAGUGUAAUGACCCGACCAGUCGUUUUGAGCUUUUGCAGUUUGCUCACCAGUUGUCGAGCAUGACUUGCUCCGUGUGAUGUAUUACGACUUAUGUAAAUCGUUGGUUUUGGUUUUCAGGGUAAUCAGAAUGAAUUUGGAAGAAUAGUUCUCAGUUUGAAGCUUGAAAUUUGAAAGGUUUGACCAAGAUUUGACUUGUUUGUAUAUGAUCUCGAAUCGGAAUUUUUAUGACUUGGUUAGCUCCGUUAGGUGAUUUGAGACUUAAGAGCAUGAUCAGAAUGCAUUCUG